ACGGGAGGCAGCAGUGGGGAAUAUUGCACAAUGGGCGAAAGCCUGAUGCAGCGACGCCGCGUGAGUGAUGAAGUAUUUCGGUAUGUAAAGCUCUAUCAGCAGGGAAGAUAAUGACGGUACCUGACUAAGAAGCACCGGCUAAAUACGUGCCAGCAGCCGCGGUAAUACGUAUGGUGCAAGCGUUAUCCGGAUUUACUGGAUGUAAAGGGAGCGCAGGCGGUACGGCAAGUCUGAUGUGAAAGCCCGGGGCUCAACCCCGGUACUGCAUUGGAAACUGUCGAACUAGAGUGUCGGAGGGGUAAGUGGAAUUCCUAGCGUAGCGGUGAAAUGCGUAGAUAUUAGGAGGAACACCAGUGGCGAAGGCGGCUUACUGAACGAUAACUGACGCUGAGGCUCGAAAGCGUGGGGAGCAAACAGGAUUAGAUACCCUGGUA
rnacentral:rRNA from 1 species